rnacentral:rRNA from 1 species
UACGUAGGGCGCAAGCGUUAUCCGGAAUUAUUGGGCGUAAAGAGCUCGUAGGCGGUCUGUCGCGUCUGCCGUGAAAGUCCGGGGCUCAACCCCGGAUCUGCGGUGGGUACGGGCAGGCUAGAGUGAUGUAGGGGAGACUGGAAUUCCUGGUGUAGCGGUGAAAUGCGCAGAUAUCAGGAGGAACACCGAUGGCGAAGGCAGGUCUCUGGGCAUUAACUGACGCUGAGGAGCGAAAGCAUGGGGAGCGAACAGG